GAUGAACGCUAGCUACAGGCUUAACACAUGCAAGUCGAGGGACCGGCGCACGGGUGAGUCACACGUAUCCAACCUGCCCUUUACUCGGGGAUAGCCUUUCGAAAGAAAGAUUAAUACCCGAUAUAAAGGAUGGGGAUGCGUUCCAUUCGGUUGUUGGUGAGGUAACGGCCCACCAAGCCUUCGAUGGAUAGGGGUUCUGAGAGGAAGGGCCCCUACAUUGGAACUGAGACACGGUCCAAACUCUGACGGGAGGAAGCAGUGAGGAAUAUGGGUCAAUGGGCGGUAGCCGGAACCAGCCAAGUAGCGUGAAGGAUGAAGGAUUAUGGGUCGUAAACUUCUUUUAUAUAAGAAUAUGUAUUAUAUGAAUAAGGAUCGGCUAACUCCGUGCCAGCAGCCGCGGUAAUUC
rnacentral:rRNA from 1 species